GUUAAACACCAGUCCCCGUACAAUCACCGAAGUUAAGCAACGUUAAGCUUUUCAGUACUUCGAUGGGUGAGCAUUUGGGAAUAACAGAUGUGGUAA